rnacentral:rRNA from 1 species
UUGCUCCCUGAUGUUAGGGGCGGACAGGUGAGUAACACGUGGGUAACCUGCCUGUAAGACUGGGAUAACUCCGGGAAACCGGGGCUAAUACCGGAUGGUUGUUUGAACCGCAUGGUUCAAACAUAAAAGGUGGCUUCGGCUACCACUUACAGAUGGACCCGCGGCGCAUUAGCUAGUUGGUGAGGUAACGGCUCACCAAGGCGACGAUGCGUAGCCGACCUGAGAGGGUGAUCGGCCACACUGGGACUGAGACAAGGCCCAGACUCCUACGGGAGGCAGCAGUAGGGAAUCUUCCGCAAUGGACGAAAGUCUGACGGAGCAACGCCGCGUGAGUGAUGAAGGUUUUCGGAUCGUAAAGCUCUGUUGUUAGGGAAGAACAAGUACCGUUCGAAUAGGGCGGUACCUUGACGGUACCUAACCAGAAAGCCACGGCUAACUACGUGCCAGCAGCCGCGGUAAUACGUAGGUGGCAAGCGUUGUCCGGAAUUAUUGGGCGUAAAGGGCUCGCAGGCGGUUUCUUAAGUCUGAUGUGAAAGCCCCCGGCUCAACCGGGGAGGGUCAUUGGAAACUGGGGAACUUGAGUGCAGAAGAGGAGAGUGGAAUUCCACGUGUAGCGGUGAAAUGCGUAGAGAUGUGGAGGAACACCAGUGGCGAAGCGACUCUCUGGUCUGUAACUGACGCUGAGGAGCGAAAGCGUGGGGAGCGAAACAGGAUUAGAUACCCUGGUAGUCCACGCCGUAAACGGAUGAGUGCUAAGUGUUAGGGGGUUUCCGCCCCUUAGUGCUGCAGCUAACGCAUUAAGCACUCCGCCUGGGGAGUACGGUCGCAAGACUGAAACUCAAAGGAAUUGACGGGGGCCCGCACAAGCGGUGGAGCAUGUGGUUUAAUUCGAAGCAACGCGAAGAACCUUACCAGGUCUUGACAUCCUGUGACAAUCCUAGAGAUAGGACGUCCCCUUCGGGGGCAGAGUGACAGGUGAAGCAAGGUUGUCGUCAGCUCGUGUCGUGAGAUGUUGGGUUAAGUCCCGCAACGAGCGCAACCCUUGAUCUUAGUUGCCAGCAUUCAGUUGGGCACUCUAAGGUGACUGCCGGUGACAAACCGGAGGAAGGUGGGGAUGACGUCAAAUCAUCAUGCCCCUUAUGACCUGGGCUACACACGUGGUACAAUGGACAGAACAAAGGGCAGCGAAACCGCGAGGCUAAGCCAAUCCCACAAAUCUGUUCUCAGUUCGGAUCGCAGUCUGCAACUCGACUGCGUGAAGCUGGAAUCGCCUAGUAAUCGCGGAUCAGCAUGCCGCGGUGAAUACGUUCCCGGGCCUUGUACACACCGCC